rnacentral:rRNA from 1 species
UACAGAGGUCUCAAGCGUUGUUCGGAUUCAUUGGGCGUAAAGGGUGCGUAGGCGGCGCGGUAAGUCGGGUGUGAAAUCUCGGAGCUUAACUCCGAAACUGCAUUCGAUACUGCCGUGCUUGAGGACUGGAGAGGAGACUGGAAUUUACGGUGUAGCGGUGAAAUGCGUAGAUAUCGUAAGGAAGACCAGUGGCGAAGGCGGGUCUCUGGACAGUUCCUGACGCUGAGGCACGAAGGUCAGGAGAGCAAACGGG